ACUUAUUUAAUAUAUUUAGUAUAUUUAACUUCCAAUUAAAAAGUUUGAUUUCACCAAAAUAAGUA
rnacentral:tRNA from 1 species